rnacentral:lncRNA from 1 species
GUUUCCUGGGCUGGUGAUGUGAACAGGGUGGAGGAAAGCAUGGCCACUGCCACGGGGUGAGUGCCCAGUUGGUCCCAUUAAGCAAAGAGCAAUCCUCCCAGCAUCAUCACCUUGGAGUGCUCAGACGGGGUGUAGGAACGAAGGAGGUGCUCCACACUUCAGUGUAACUGGCCGGGGUGUGAACAGGUACAGUCAAUUCACACUACAGAACCGCUUCCAGAAGACUUUGGAUUUCGUAAGAGGUACCACCAGUGGGGACCUUUGGGAAACUUGUAAUUUCCCAGGAAGCCCGCUUCUGUGGUGACCAACUGAGAGUUUACCAGACGAAUGGUGGUUUUCGUGCCCAUGUCUUGUUGGAAUUUGACUGUGGGUGCCCCAUUAAACCUCUGGACUGCAUCAUGAUCAUCUAUUUCUCGACCUAGCCGGGAGGACUUCAGAGAUCCUGCUGGAGAGACACACCUGCCCCACUGCCUUGGUCCUAAUGUCCUCCUGAGGCAGGUAACCCUCCCAAUCAGAGGUGUUGAAGGGAAAAUCUGUGGUCUCUAUCAUUGAAAUGUUCACGUGGUCCCAGAGGUAGCAAAGCAGGGCCUCUGCACUGUACUUAACCCUGGCCCCUGGCCCCUUGUAUAUCACUUUGUACUUGUUCAUGUUCAGAUAAUUCUUCUGGAUAGUUUGCAGCCUGGGGAUAAGGUUUUUGGAGGAGCAAGGUGACUCAGUUAUACUGAAUUAUUUUCCAUUGU